rnacentral:rRNA from 1 species
GACGAACGCUGGCGGCGUGCUUAACACAUGCAAGUCGAACGGAAAGGCCCUGCUUUUGUGGGGUGCUCGAGUGGCGAACGGGUGAGUAACACGUGAGUAACCUGCCCUUGACUUUGGGAUAACUUCAGGAAACUGGGGCUAAUACCGGAUAGGAGCUCCUGCUGCAUGGUGGGGGUUGGAAAGUUUCGGCGGUUGGGGAUGGACUCGCGGCUUAUCAGCUUGUUGGUGGGGUAGUGGCUUACCAAGGCUUUGACGGGUAGCCGGCCUGAGAGGGUGACCGGCCGUAGUGGGGCUGAGAGACGGGCCAGAGUCGGACGGGAGGCAGCAGGGGGGAAGGGUGGACAAUGGGCGGAAGCCUGAUGACGGCAGUCCGCGGGCGGGAGGACGGCGUGAGGGGUGGAAAACGCGUUCAGCAGGGGCGAAGCUGGUGGUGACGGUACCUGAAGAAGAAGCACCGGCUAACUACGUG